UACGUAGGGUGCGAGCGUUGUCCGGAAUUAUUGGGCGUAAAGCGCACGUAGGCGGUUCGUUAAGUCGGAUGUGAAAGCCCUCGGCUCAACUGAGGAAGUGCACCCGAAACUGGCGAGCUUGAGUACGAAAGAGGAUCGCGGAAUUCCCGGUGUAGAGGUGAAAUUCGUAGAUAUCGGGAGGAACACCGGUGGCGAAGGCGGCGAUCUGGGUCGAUACUGACGCUGAGGUGCGAAAGCGUGGGGAGCAAACAGG
rnacentral:rRNA from 1 species